GAUGAAGAACGUAGCGAAAUGCGAUAAGUAAUGUGAAUUGCAGAAUUCAGUGAAUCAUCGAAUCUUUGAACGCACAUUGCGCCCCCUGGUAUUCCGGGGGGCAUGCCUGUCCGAGCGUCAUUACAACCCUCAAGCUCAGCUUGGUAUUGGGCCCCGCCGACCCGGCGGGCCCUAAAGUCAGUGGCGGUGCCGUCCGGCUCCGAGCGUAGUAAUUCUUCUCGCUCUGGAGGUCCGGUCGUGUGCUCGCCAGCAACCCCCAAUUUUUUUCAGGUUGACCUCGGAUCAGGUAGGGAUACCCGCUGAACUUAAGCAUAUCAAUAAGCGGGGA
rnacentral:misc_RNA from 1 species